rnacentral:pre_miRNA from 1 species
UGCUACUAUCAGCUUUGGUUAUAUACAUUCCCACAACUUAUAACCAGGCUCAUAGUAGUUCU